UGCUCUCUUCUCACAGCAGCAUACAUCUUAUCACCAUAU
rnacentral:sRNA from 1 species